UUACCUCCAUGCUAUCUCUCUGGCCCCCGUAGUAUCUGUUCUUAUCAGUUUAAUAUCUGAUAGAUCUUCUAUCCGACGACAAUGUAUUAAAUGGAUUUUUGGCACUAGGGACUGGAAUAGGAGCUUGCUCCUUCUAUUCCACGCAUCGACCUGGUAUUGCAGUACCUCCAGGAACGGUGCACCAAAA